rnacentral:rRNA from 1 species
CCACGGGGGGCAGCAGUGGGGAAUAUUGGACAAUGGGGGCAACCCUGAUCCAGCCAUGCCGCGUGUGUGAAGAAGGCCCUCGGGUUGUAAAGCACUUUCAGUGAGGAAGAACGCCUGGUGGUUAAUACCCAUCAGGAAAGACAUCACUCACAGAAGAAGCACCGGCUAACUCCGUGCCAGCAGCCGCGGUAAUACGGAGGGUGCGAGCGUUAAUCGGAAUUACUGGGCGUAAAGCGCGCGUAGGUGGCUUGAUAAGCCGGUUGUGAAAGCCCCGGGCUCAACCUGGGAACGGCAUCCGGAACUGUCAAGCUAGAGUGCAGGAGAGGAAGGUAGAAUUCCCGGUGUAGCGGUGAAAUGCGUAGAGAUCGGGAGGAAUACCAGUGGCGAAGGCGGCCUUCUGGACUGACACUGACACUGAGGUGCGAAAGCGUGGGUAGCAAACAGGAUUAGAUACCCGGGUAGUC